CAGCGAGCAGGGGACGGGGGUUGGUUUGGGUUGGGUUGGUUCGAGGCGGGAAACAGGAAAGAAGGAACAAGAAACAAGAAACACCUGGUGGUCCUUUGGUCUCUCCCGCCCCAGAAUUAUUGCCCACAGGCGCCGGAAAGGAAGAAGGGGUAGCCAGCCAGCUAGCCAGCUAGCUGGCUAGGUAGCUGCUCGUCCAUGGAGGAAGAGGAUCCCAAAAAAGGGAAGUGGGAGGGGAAAAAUAUUCAGGGCUUGAGGACGAGGGAGAGGCCCACCUUGGAGCUCUUGUCGAUGGCCUUGGUGUCGACCUCGCCGGAGAUGGUGACGAGGGACU
rnacentral:lncRNA from 1 species